rnacentral:rRNA from 1 species
UACGUAGGCAGCGAGCGUUGUUCGGAGUUACUGGGCGUAAAGCGUGCGUAGGCGGUGGCCCAAGUCUGGUGUGAAAUCUCCCGGCUUAACUGGGAGGGUGCGCCGGAAACUGGGUCGCUAGAGUACUGGAGAGGCAGGCGGAAUUCCUGGAGUAGCGGUGAAAUGCGUAGAUAUCAGGAGGAACACCCGCGGUGUAGACGGCCUGCUGGACAGUCACUGACGCUGAGGCACGAAAGCGUGGGGAGCAAACAGG